UCUGCAUCGGGUGAAGGCUCCAGGCAGGAGAGCUGACAACAGUUGGAAGGCCUGAGUGAAGGGGAGGCCAAAGCCGUUAAGAGACGGACUAGGAAGCUGGGGAAAGAGUCUGGGUACUGAGAGAGGAGGCUGGACCGAAGGUGGGAAGAAGCUGAGUUAAGAGAACUCCGCUUGUCCCGGCAGUAGCUGUGUGGGCCGGGGAGGAGAGGAGGAGUCCUCCGAGACCAGCGCCGGGAGCCGAGGCUCACCUCCUCCUGCCCCAGCCAACCCACCGACCAACCGACGGUCAGAAGAACAGAGUGAGAAGGCCAAGCGGCUCUUGUCUCAGGGGCCAGAGCACCACAGCACAGCAGAAUCAGUUUCCUGCCUGUAAUGAAGCUAAGGGACUAGCUAAAGAUGAGCCAGCAGUAUAAAACUCUCCUCACCUCCCCCAGAAUA
rnacentral:lncRNA from 1 species